ensembl:lncRNA
GUGUGUGAGUAUAUCAGUGUGUGUGUCAGUGUGUGAGUAUACAGUGUGUGUGAGUGUGUGAGUAUACAGUGGUGUGUGUUAGUGUGUGAGUAUACAGUGUGUGUGUUUAGUGUGUGAGUAUACAGUGUGUGUGUUAGUGUGUGAGUAUACAGUGUGUGUGUUAGUGUGUGAGUAUACAGUGUGUGUGUUAGUGGGUGAGUAUACAGUGUGUGUGUUAGUGGGUGAGUAUAAUGUGUGUGUUAGUGGGUGAGUAUACAGUGUGUGUGUUAGUGUGUGAGUAUACAGUGUGUGUGUUAGUGGGUGAGUAUACAGUGUGUGUGUUAGUGGGUGAGUAUACAGUGUGUGUGAGUGUGUGAGUAUACAGUGUGUGUGUUAGUGGGUGAGUAUACAGUGUGUGUGUUAGUGGGUGAGUAUACAGUGUGUGUGAGUGUGUGAGUAUACAGUGUGUGUGUGAGUGUGUGAGUAUACAGUGUUGUGUUAGUGGGUGAGUAUACAGUGUGUGUGUUAGUGUGUGAGUAUACAGUGU